CCUACGGGUGGCAGCAGUAGGGAAUCUUUCACAAUGGGCGAAAGCCUGAUGGAGCAAUGCCGCGUGCAGGAUGAAGGCCCUAGGGUUGGUAACUGCUUUUAUAAGCGAGAAAUAUGAGGGUAACUUAUGCAUAAGGAACGGCUAACAACGUGCCAGCAGCCGCCGUCAUAAGUAGGAGCCGAGCAUUAUCCGGGGUGACUGGGGGGAAAGAGUUGCGUAGGGGGCAUAAUAAGUAGCUAGUGAAAUCUGGUGGCUCAAACAUUCAUACUACUAGCUAAACUGGUAAGCUCGAGACCGUUAGAGGUAACUGGAAUGUGUAGUGUAGCAGUGAAAUCCGUAGAUAUUA
rnacentral:rRNA from 1 species